rnacentral:misc_RNA from 1 species
GUGAAUCAUCAAAUUUUUGAACGCAAAUUGCACUCUCCGGUUUUCCGGGAGAGUAUGCCUGUUUGCGGGGCAGCCUAAAUAAAAUCGACAUUGUUUCUGUUAUUUAAUGGUGACUUUCGUCGGAGAUUGUGUUAUCUUAAACCUUUUUUUUUUUUUGGGUUUUAUGUCCUUAAAAUUUUUCUUCCCG